rnacentral:rRNA from 1 species
ACUAUCUUAGUUCUUUAAUUGUGAUCUGGAAUGAAUGGCUUGACGAGGCACGGGCUGUCUUAGUGUUGAAUGUUUUAUUGAAUUUGGUCUUUGAGUUAAAAUUCUUAGAUGUUUUUGUGGGACGAGAAGACCCUAUAGAGUUUGACAUUUGGUUUAUUUACUUGUUUGUUGUUUGUUUAUUUUUGGUGAGUGGGCUUUUUGUUUCGUUGGGGCGAUGAGAGGAAUGUACUUAACUCCUCUU